UACAGAGGGUGCGAGCGUUGUCCGGAAUCACUGGGCGUAAAGGGCGGCGUAGGUGGCCCGACAAGUCUGUGGUGAAAGCUCGACGCUCAACGUCGAGUCGGCCAUAGAUACUGUUGGGCUGGAGCACUGUAGAGGCUCAUGGAAUUCCGGGUGUAGCGGUGGAAUGCGUAGAGAUCCGGAAGAACACCGGUGGCGAAGGCGGUGAGCUGGGCAGUAGCUGACACUGAGGCGCGACAGCGUGGGGAGCAAACAGGG
rnacentral:rRNA from 1 species